CCUAGCCUACGGGGGGCAGCAGUCGGGAAUAUUGCGCAAUGGAGGAAACUCUGACGCAGUGACGCCGCGUAUGGGAAGAAGGUUUUCGGAUUGUAAACCAUUGUCGUUAGGGAAGAAGAAGUGACAGUACCUAAGGAGGAAGCUCCGGCUAACUAUGUGCCAGCAGCCGCGGUAAUACAUAGGGAGCGAGCGUUAUCCGGAAUUAUUGGGUGUAAAGGGUGCGUAGACGGGAUAACAAGUUGGUUGUGAAACCCCUCGGCUCAACUGAGGAACUGCAACCAAAACUAUUAUUCUUGAGUGCAGGG
rnacentral:rRNA from 1 species